GAGUAUUAUUCUUGAUAUUCCAGAAGGUACCGAGCUUAUUUGACAUUGGUGGAAAUUUGAAAUUGGCCUCGUAAAGAACUUUUAUUUGCUUAAUCAUAAUUUCUAGAAACAAAGGUAAAGUCAACAACUCAAUUUAUUGACAAUCAGCUCACAUGCCUAAGCUUGACAUGCCUCUUAAUGUCUACUGAUGCUUAACUUUAUACUUGAACUGAGAA
rnacentral:misc_RNA from 1 species